AUGGAGCCGACCUUGAAAUACCACCCUUUAAUGUUUGAUGUUCUAACGUUGACCCGUAAUCCGGGUUGCGGACAGUGUCUGGUGGGUAGUUUGACUGGGGCGGUCUCCUCCUAAAGAGUAACGGAGGAGCACGAAGGUUGGCUAAUCCUGGUCGGACAUCAGGAGGUUAGUGCAAUGGCAUAAGCCAGCUUGACUGCGAGCGUGACGGCGCGAGCAGGUGCGAAAGCAGGUCAUAGUGAUCCGGUGGUUCUGAAUGGAAGGGCCAUCGCUCAACGGAUAAAAGGUACUCCGGGGAUAACAGGCUGAUACCGCCCAAGAGUUCAUAUCGACGGCGGUGUUUGGCACCUCGAUGUCGGCUCAUCACAUCCUGGGGCUGAAGUAGGUCCCAAGGGUAUGGCUGUUCGCCAUUUAAAGUGGUACGCGAGCUGGGUUUAGAACGUCGUGAGACAGUUCGGUCCCUAUCUGCCGUGGGCGCUGGAGAACUGAGGGGGGCUGCUCCUAGUACGAGAGGACCGGAGUGGACGCAUCACUGGUGUUCGGGUUGUCAUGCCAAUGGCACUGCCCGGUAGCUAAAUGCGGAAGAGAUAAGUGCUGAAAGCAUCUAAGCACGAAACUUGCCCCGAGAUGAGUUCUCCCUGACUCCUUGAGAGUCCUGAAGGAACGUUGAAGACGACGACGUUGAUA
rnacentral:rRNA from 1 species